AAUGUUGAGAACACUGCAGAACAUGGA
rnacentral:piRNA from 1 species